rnacentral:rRNA from 1 species
AACGAGCGCAACCCUCGUUAUAUGUUGCCAGCACGUAAUGGUGGGAAAUCAUGGGAUACUGCCGGGGUCAACUCGGAGGAAGGUGGGGAUGACGUCAAAUCAUCAUGCCCCUUAUGUCUUGGGCUUCACGCAUGCUACAAUGGCCGGUACAAAGGGCUGCGAUACCGUAAGGUGGAGCGAAUCCCAAAAAGCCGGUCCCAGUUCGGAUUGAGGUCUGCAACUCGACCUCAUGAAGUCGGAGUCGCUAGUAAUCGCAGAUCAGCAACGCUGCGGUGAAUACGUUCCCGGGUCUUGUACACACCGCCCGUCAAGUCAUGAAAGUCGGUAACACCUGAAGCCGGUGGCGCUAACC